rnacentral:siRNA from 1 species
GAUACCAUCCCUCGAUCGCUACC